AGUCACUGAUGACUCCUUUUUAAACAUUUUUCUGACACCUUCUAUGAGAGCUGCACUGCAGUCUUUGAUUAUUAAUUGGAACCUGAGGCUU
ensembl:snoRNA Small nucleolar RNA SNORD60